UAAGGCGAGGAACAGAAACCAACAGGGAUUCCCCUAGUAGUGGCGAAUGAAGCGGGAAAAGCUCAAGUUUGAAAUCUGAAGUUUACUUCAGAGUUGUAAGCUGAAGAGGUGUCGACCGACCUGGUCCGGGCCCAAUUUCCUUGGAACAGGAGGUCAUGGAGGGUGAGAACCCCGUCUGUGGCUCGGGUGCUGUGGUCCUUGUGUCGUGCCCUCGAAGAGUCGGGUUGUUUGGGAAUGCAGCUCAAAAUGGGUGGUGAACUCCAUCUAAAGCUAAAUAUUGGCGAGAGACCGAUAGCGAACAAGUACCGUGAGGGAAAGAUGAAAAGCACUUUGGAAAGAGAGUGAAACAGUACGUGAAAUUGUUGAAAGGGAAACGCUUGAAGUCAGUCGCGUCGACCGAGACUCAGCCUUGCCUUGGCUUGGUGUACUUCUCGGCCCGACGGGUCAGCAUCAAUUUUGCCCCUCGGAUAAUGGCAAGGGAAAGGUGGCACCUUUGCGGGUGUGUUAUAGUCUCCUGUCGCAUGCGAGGGGUGGGAUUGAGGAACUCAGCGCGCACCUUGGUGUCGGGGCUUCGGCCCACGUCACGCGCUUAGGAUGCUGGCGUAAUGGCUUUAAACGACC
rnacentral:rRNA from 1 species